rnacentral:rRNA from 1 species
UACGUAGGAGGCGCGCGUUGUCCGGAAUUACUGGGUGUAAAGCGCGCGUAGGUGGGAGGCCACGUCUGUGGUGAAAUCGCCCGGCUCAACUGGGCGGGGUCCAUGGAAACUGGUCACCUGGAGGACGGUAGAGGCGAGUGGAAUUCCCGGUGUAGUGGUGAAAUGCGUAGAGAUCGGGAGGAACACCAGUGGCGAAGGCGGCUCGCUGGGCCGGUCCUGACACUGAGGCGCGAAGGCGUGGGGAGCGAACGGA